UACAGAGGGUGCAAGCGUUAAUCGGAAUUACUGGGCGUAAAGCGUGCGUAGACGGUUAUGUAAGUCAGAUGUGAAAGCCCCGGGCUUAACCUGGGAAUGGCAUUUGAGACUGCAUAGCUAGGGUGCGGAAGAGGGAAGCGGAAUUUCCGGUGUAGCGGUGAAAUGCGUAGAUAUCGGAAGGAACACCUGUGGCGAAAGCGGCGCACUGGACCAUAACUGACGCUGAGGCGCGAAAGCUAGGGGAGCAAACAGG
rnacentral:rRNA from 1 species